rnacentral:lncRNA from 1 species
AGAGAUAGAAGAAAAAAUACCAACAAACGACUGGACAGCCGUUUACAGGAAGGAGGGGAAUCAAUGGCUUCCGGAGAACUAAACGAAAACUUAGAUUUACAAGGAAAAGAACCCGGCGGAAAAUAUGAUAUUUUCUAUUUAAUUAGAAGGAAACUGGCAGCUGUUUUUUGCAUGAAGCAUUUCCUAAAAGAAAUAACAGGUUUAUCUUUGACUGCAGCAUCUCUGAUCAAUCACAGUAUUACUUGAGUGAUGAUAGCCUCAUCGACUGAACUGUUCCUGAUUCCUGAGAUUGUUUUGUUGUUGUUCUUCUGCUACGGAGAAACCACCAUUGUUGACUCUGAAGUGUUUCAUUUCACUGUCUCAUGGAACUGCAAAGCAUUGCCAUUGGUGUGUGAUGGAGAGAAUCAAACAGCAAACCUUUCUGCUGCACUGCUCAACUAGAAGUGUUGAAGGUGUAACAUAACAGGUCUGGUCAAGGUUAGCUCCACAGUGACAACUGGGAGUGUUAAUAGUCUUCUGUUAUAUAACACAAGCCAGUUGAACUGAACUGGUGGGAGGGUAGAGUGCUCUUUCCCCACCAUACACACUCACACACUCCCCACCUACAACACAUCUGGAUGUGCUGUUAAGACUGCUGUAACAGGUUUUUGCUUGAGCAAAGUCAAGCAGAACCAUAGCUACUGUCACAGCAACUACCAACAAUUAUAGACAGUUUGCUGUGCUUGGUCUGUAACCACAUAUCAAACCUGAUCAGACAGACCUAUCAUUGAAAACAUUCCAGUUUUGAAUAUCUAGUCUUUAUUUUAGAUAUAAUGCAUACAGUGUUAUUUUAUAAGUCCUUUAUAGCAAGGUGUGAUUUGAGGGGUGUUUGGUUGUUAAAUCUAACAGCUUACACAUUUAUAUAGAAACUCUUUCAUUGAUUCACUAGUGCCACAAAUCCCAAAUUGUUUCAUGUUUCCCAGGUGCUAAAAGUAAUCUGUUUUCCUCUUUUGUUGAUUCAUUCUGUGUUAUAAUCUUCUUAUCCAGAUAGUCAACCACUGGAAUCAACUAAUCAUUUAUGAUUAGUAUAGAUUGAGGGCCUUGUGCAUCAGGGUAAUGUCAGGAUGGAAGUACAAAUGGGAUGCUCAUCAUUUUGUUAUGAUCAUCAAUACUCUAAAGAUAAUUGGAGGACCAUAACUCUCUCAAGCUCCAUGAUUGCUCAUCCUAAAAUAAAUCCAGAUGUUAUCUUUAUAUAUUUGAUGACAUAUCAAUUUUCUGUGCUAAUUUAAAGCUCCAACAGAUAGAGUUUUAAAUUAGAAUAUUGCUGUCCUGGCAACCUCUGAACCCAAGUUCAUAACAAUUUUGAAAUUCUUUAUUAAGAACAGUCCUGGUUGAAUGAGAGAAGUUCUAAACACACGUUUUGAGCCUGAAAGUUUAGGGACUCAAAAUUGUAGCUAUUCAUAGAUUUCCUUUGUUAAUUGCUAUAAAUAAACCAAAUCUUUGGUCUCUAACAAUGACCACUCCACCUCAAUCUAUCCAACAAGACCUAGCAAAGAAGCGAGUAAGUUGGGUUGUAAGUCUAUUUUAAUACUGCCAGCAUAUUUUCUUUGGAAGUGCAUUGAUUUGUCACCUCUUCAAUAGCUCUUCCCUUAUAACCCUAGCUGACUGACUUAGUCUUGGGUCUAUGGUGACAGUCCACUUUUUGAACAUAAGCUAGCCUAUCAUUUUGAUGGAAUGAAAACCUCAUCCAAAAUACGUUGAGUUGUUUCCCCUUUAGUGAAGUUACGCAGGUAAACUGAAUACUGCCAUGUCCUCAAGUGUUUGAUUUUAUGUAAGGCGUUGGAAAUGUAUCAUUGCAAUUUGAAAUUUGAAAUUUUCUAUAACCCAAAACCUAGGGACAUUAUCAUUGAGUAAUCGAAUUGUCAUGUCAUCAUAUUUGAUAUUAUUGUUACUAGUUUUUUUUUUUUUUUUUUUUUUUUUUUUUUUUUUUUUUUUUUUUUUUUUUGGCAGGUGGUUUCUCUCUCACACAUCAAAAUUGUCAUUAGAGAUACUUAUCAAGUCUAACAAGGGCUACCACCCCCAGCCAUUCAGUAAACAACUUGGAGCCUUUUCUUUAGUGAUAUACCUGCUGGAAGUAGCAGUCAUAUUUCUUUCAAAUCAUACCCUACUGUCUUUUAAAAAAAAAAAAAAAACCAAGGGACACAUUAGAUAAUGUGUAGUCCUAGAUACACUAUUCUUGGGGCGGGUGGAGGGGAAUUAGGUUUUCAAACCUGGAGAGUCUUUGAUCAUAGGUCAACUCAGUCAGGGCUGAUUGAAGGCUACACAUAACAGGUACAAGUGCUGUCUGCUGGACCAAGGGGCCACUGCCAUAACAACAAACAACUGGAUGUACUGUGACAGUCUGCUAUAACUACUUAUCUGUUUGGUGGUGAGCUGUCGUACUCCCCUCUUUCUUGCAUGGUUCUGUCGGGGCUAUGCCACAACAACAACCGAACAUGUUAACAAGAGACUCAAAUAUUGCUCUCAACCCCACCUCACUUCUCUUCCAUCCCUCUUCUCACUUCUUUUUAUCUCCUGUUUUCCUCCUUUUUUUUCCAUAUAUAGAUAUAUAUAUAUACUUUAGUUAUUGUCUUUAUUACUACCUGACUGUUUCUCCUUUUCUCUCUUUUUAUUUUACUUUCAACUCUGUUUUCUCUUUGUGUUUGUAUACCCACUUCUUUGUCCCAUCUCUCUUCCCCUCACUCUUUGUCCCAUCUCUCUUCCACUUUUUUUUUACUGCCCUCUCUUUCUCAUAACAGUUACUGCUGUUGGUUGUGACUUUUAAAACUUUCUGGAGACACUGUGGAAAUUUUGGAUAAACCAAUGUACAUAAAUUAUUUACUUCAGUGAAGUUACCACUUGAUGGGUGAAAGCCUGUUAGUCUGACAUAGUGUAUGUACCACACAAUGAAUGUUAGUGUAUGUAAGCAUUGAUGUAAAUUUAGGAGAGUGUGUAAUAUAGUUUUCAUCUUUUCCUUUUUUCACAUCACUCAUUUAUUGCUACUCACAAGCAAUAACUUUAUUUAUUGACUUAACUCUUUAUAAACUGCAAAUUUAUAUCUGUUGCAAAAGCUGUUACUUUAUAAGGCUUUCAAUUAAAACCACAAGUUAUUACAAAAAAAAUUCAAUAAAAUAAAAAUAACAACUACAACAACAAAAAAUGCAAGGUCUUUUAAUAACUAUA